ensembl:snRNA U6 U6 spliceosomal RNA
GUGUUUGCCUUGGUAGUACAUAUAUUAAAAAGUUGGAAUAAUACUAGAAGAUUUGCAUGGCCCCUGCCAAAGGAUGACACACAAAUUUGUGAAGCCUUCAUGUUUUUC